GUGUAAAUCAUUUAAAACAUAUUUCAGCAGACACUUGUUAACUCUCUGGCAACUUUUACUGAUGUAAACUUCAACCUCCAAAACAAUCUUUGUUCCUUUUUUUAUUUGGAUAUUUCUGUUUAAAAAAACAGAAAUAUUUUUUCAGGCCAGAGAGUUAACAAGUGCUAAGAAAGUUACUCCAAAGUUUCUGGAGGUCGGUGAAGACGCACAGCAGCAGUCCCCGUGCUACCGCCAAGAAAGCCGCUCUUUUGAAUCAGUGUUAUUCGUUCCAUUCCUCAGAGUAGACAACAGGAUUCAGCCUUGUUUUGUUUUUACUUUUAAUUCAUUCCUCGGGAGGACUUUCCAGUCAGACUGCGUACUGUGUUCCCGCUAGACAUAGGUUACAAUUGUUCUCAAGCCCUGUUACCCAGAGAAGUUGUGUCAGGCAGAGAUGAGGAAAUGUGCUGCUCAUCACCUAAAGUGUGAGUAAGAGAUUUGAGAAAGACAAACAGUACCACAGCAAGGAUGCGAAGUUCAUUCCUUAAGUCUUUCAUUAUGUUGACCAACUGUACAAAAGAAAAUUUAUAAGAAUCUAUUUGACAACUCAAAAAAUAUAACAAUGUGUUAUGGUUUGCAAGUGUCAAGAACACUUAAAGUACUAUGAAGAUUUCUGUGAAGCCAUUGCAGUCAGCGGCGAAGGCUGAUUUCUGUGAAGCCAGCGGCGAAGGCUGCUGCCCCUAAAGCCAAGAAGGCUGCUUCGGAAGGCUACGGGGAUCUGUCAAUCAUUGGAUAAAUAUUAGUAUUACACUUAUGGCUAUUCAUUUCUCCACGGGAUUCCCGUUGUAACCUUAUUUGUUUUGGGUUAUUGAAAGGGCUUUAUGAACGGUUAGAUUUUGAGCAAUUCUAUUAACUUAUUAUAUUUUGAGCAAUUCUAUUAACUCAAAUAAGUUAAUUCUAUUAACUUAUUUGACCUUUCAGAGGACAGAGGACUUCUACCAGACAGAGGACACUUAUUACAUUGUCCUGGAGCUGAUGGAGGGGGGAGAGCUGUUUAACAGGGUGAAGGCGGGACAAGGCCUGGAUGAGGCUGUG
ensembl:lncRNA